AUUGAACGCUGGCGGCAGGCCUAGCACAUGCAAGUCGAGCGGAUGAAGGGAGCUUGCUCCUGGAUUCAGCGGCGGACGGGUGAGUAAUGCCUAGGAAUCUGCCUGGUAGUGGGGGAUAACGUCCGGAAACGGGCGCUAAUACCGCAUACGUCCUGAGGGAGAAAGUGGGGGAUCUUCGGACCUCACGCUAUCAGAUGAGCCUAGGUCGGAUUAGCUAGUUGGUGGGGUAAAGGCCCACCAAGGCGACGAUCCGUAACUGGUCUGAGAGGAUGAUCAGUCACACUGGAACUGAGACACGGUCCAGACUCCUACGGGAGGCAGCAGUGGGGAAUAUUGGACAAUGGGCGAAAGCCUGAUCCAGCCAUGCCGCGUGUGUGAAGAAGGUCUUCGGAUUGUAAAGCACUUUAAGUUGGGAGGAAGGGCAGUAAGUUAAUACCUUGCUGUUUUGACGUUACCAACAGAAUAAGCACCGGCUAACUUCGUG
rnacentral:rRNA from 1 species